rnacentral:miRNA from 5 species
UUCAGUCAUUGUUUCUGGUCGU